GUUCGGGUCACUUUUAUCCAUUUUGAUCGUGUUCCGGACCUUGUUAAUCACCUCCUCCGUCUCCUUCACGUAUUCCUCGUCGAAAGCAGCCAACGCCGGCGCAGGGGAUAUCACUCCGGGGAACACUGAAGAGAUGACUGAUGCAGUGGUGGCUAGAGAUAGGAAAUGCCGGCGAAGAGGCUGUUGUUUCGAUGGCGAGGAUGGUGAGGCGGCGGCAGAUGGAGUAAUGCGGCGGCGGGGAGGUGACGGUGUGGGCUUGGAGGUUGUUGGAGGGGUUAGGAGUGAUGGUGAUGAGGCCAUGGGAGGUUUUCUUUUUUGCAGAAGGAAAUGGAGUUGUGAGGAAGGAGAGGGAAGGUAGUAGUAGGGGGAAGAGGAGGGGGAAAUGGGUUUUUGACACGUGGACAGGGGCUUAUCGCCUUAUCUUCAGUUUUGGUAUUUUGGAUGAGAGAAGACCCAAUGGUAUUUUAGCUUGAUAGAUCUCCGGCUCAAGUGUACUUUUUAAAAAAUAAUAAUAAAAAAAAAUAAUUUUGAGGAAUUUAAUAAUAAUUUAAUUAUUUUUUAAUAUAAUAUAGUAUAUAUUAAUAUCAUAACUUAAAUUCAAAACUUAAAUUUUAAAUUCUAAUUUUACGGACUCUAAAUAAAAUAUAAUAUAAAUAAAGUAGAAAUUUAGAUAAAAAUAAUAUUUUAUUCUAAAUUAAGUCUAUGUCCACUUUCGAUUAAGGAGUUUGUUAAUUAUUUCCUUCACAUAUAUGAAUAUAAAAUUAGUAGAAUUAACUAACGAAAUUGAUUUGAUUUAAUUGUAUAUUAAAUUGUGAAAAUUAUCAUAGACUUACACAUAUUAAAUAAUUAAAAUCUAAUAAUUAUAUGAAAAUAUAAUAAAAUAAGUUUGACCUUAAAGUAACAUUAUCAUUUAUGUUUCAUUAAAAUUUUAAAAAUAGAAUAUUAGUAGAAUAGACAAAUUUUCAUAUAAUUCAAAAACUAGAUGAGAGGGUGAUAGCGAAAAAGUAGAAAAUGAUAAACAUAACAGAAUCUACGUACACAAUUAAAGGGACCGAACAAUGCGCAUGUUAAAUGUGGAAUGUGAAGACUAAUGUCGUGUUGGAAUGACAAAAUAAAUAGAAAAAGUUCUAUGUGGAAAAAAGAAAUUAUUAACUUGGUAGUGCGAUUGCUAGCAGAAUUGCUCAUGAUAGUCAAGACAAUUAUUGUAAGUUCAUACUAUGAAUGGACAACAUAGUCAAUUUGGGAUAGAUAUUACCGAAUNNNNNNNNNNNNNNNNNNNNNNNNNNNNNNNNNNNNNNNNNNNNNNNNNNNNNNNNNNNNNNNNNNNNNNNNNNNNNNNNNNNNNNNNNNNNNNNNNNNNNNNNNNUCACAUACAUCGGGUAGAAAAACUCUAUAUUGACCAUUGUGCGUACCAGAGCUACCAUAUGUCUAGGGGCACCAUAAGAUUUUUCUAUAAUCUAAAGAAUUUAACCAAUUACCUUAUCUUGAUAGUUUUGACACUGCGUAGACUAAAAUAACUUGUUAAUUCAGUUGUCUUUAUUUUUUUUUUCUUUUGUAAAGAGCCAGAACUUAAGAAAAUGAAAAUAAUGAAUUAAGUAACUAUAAGCAUAAGUAAUUUAGAGUUUAUGGUGUACAUUCCUUACAUAAUAAAUUUGGAGUGUCCAAUAGGGUAACAGAAAUGCUCAUUUUAGGCAGUUUCAACAACGAAAUAAAUAAUAAAAGAAGACGCAACUAAAGAUCCUAUUGGGUUAACCUCCACUAGGCAACUCUGAUUGGAUGCAGGAGGCAGCUUUUAUUUGCAACCUUCUUACAGUUCAGGAUUUGGAUCUUGAUCUUCCUGAUCUGAAAUGGUUAAAUAAGGGGAAUGAAACACACUAACCCAGUAAGAAUAUCACACUUAACACCGACACGAAGAAUAAAAGAUUGGUAAAAAUUAUUAAAUAACCAAUGGAGCCAUUAUUUCUUUUUAAAUCAAUUCGUUUAACUUAAAAACUGUUAUUUCAUACUUACUUUUAUAAGUUUCCAAAACCGACCUAUGAAAACAAUAACCGGAAUAACAUUUUUAUUACAAAUUCAAAUGAACAAUAACAAUAAACUUAUAUUCUUACUUGUUUACCAGUACAUCUGGAGGUCCAUAAGGAUGUCCCCCUACGUAUGAAUCCAAUAUCAAAAUUAUUAAUCAAGCCACUGUUUCCAUACCUCGGCUGGUAAUGAGCGUCAAACAUACCACCACCUCGAUUUAUCGACCGGUAUGAGAGUUAAUAUAUACCUCCCAACCCCUUCUGGUAUGGGACUUCUCAGUUCCGUUUGACUGAAGUAACGUCCACGGUAGAGUUUUCCUAUGCAUCGGAUCCGUACACCCAUACCCAGGGUACCCAAAGUCCUUUAGUAUACAUAUUCACAUCAUUCCCCCGCCACAAAUCACACGCAACGAACUCUUCCAUAUUUAUAGAACAAUAGAGUGAUAAUUACACAAGUAGUAUAAAUUAAUAUAUUAGUAAUUAAGGAAGACGUGAUCAAGGCAUUUAUUGCAAACCAAUCAACAGAUGAGGACAACACGGGUAGAUAAACUAAAUAAACGAAAAAGCAAUUAAAUUCAAUAAAUUAAAGCACAUGAUGUAACAGUAAGCAUUUUAGCCAGUAUAAGAGAAAAUAAACAACCAAACUAGGGUAAAUAUACACUGACCAGUUUCGGCUCCAGUAGCGACCUAUAAUUAUUUUAAGAAUUUUUAUUUUUUUACAAAACACACCAUUCAUUGAUUAUUAGAUUUUAAUUUAUUGUAACGAGAGAAAAUGGUGA
rnacentral:lncRNA from 1 species